rnacentral:rRNA from 1 species
AGUGAACGCUGGCGGCGUGCCUAACACAUGCAAGUCGAACGAGAACGGGUUUAAGUUUACUUAAACUGUCAGCUAAGUGGCGCACGGGUGAGUAAGAUAUAGUUAACCUGCCCUCUAGAAAGGAAUAACAGUUAGAAAUGACUGCUAAUGCCUUAUAUGCCUUUUUAACAUAAGUUAGUAAAGGGAAAUGCUUUAGUGCUAGAGGAUGGGACUGUAUAGUAUCAGAUAGUUGGUGGGGUAAUGGCCUACCAAGUCAAUGACGCUUAACUGGUUUGAGAGGAUGAUCAGUCACACUGGAACUGAGACACGGUCCAGACUCCUACGGGAGGCAGCAGUGGGGAAUAUUGCACAAUGGACGAAAGUCUGAUGCAGCAACGCCGCGUGGAGGAUGACACAUUUCGGUGCGUAAACUCCUUUUAUAUAGGAAGAUAAUGACGGUACUAUAUGAAUAAGCACCGGCUAACUCCGUGCCAGCAGCCGCGGUAAUACGGAGGGUGCAAGCGUUACUCGGAAUCACUGGGCGUAAAGAGCAUGUAGGCGGAUUGAUAAGUUUGAAGUGAAAUCCUAUAGCUUAACUAUAGAACUGCUUUGAAAACUGUUAAUCUAGAAUAUGGGAGAGGUAGAUGGAAUUUCUGGUGUAGGGGUAAAAUCCGUAGAGAUCAGAAGGAAUACCGAUUGCGAAGGCGAUCUACUGGAACAUUAUUGACGCUCAGAUGCGAAAGCGUGGGGAGCAAACAGG